CGUAGGUGAACCUGCGGAAGGAUCAUUAUCAAAUCCUAGCCGUCUCCUCCGGGGUGACGGUGAAACACCGUGCACUGGCGACUGGGGAUGGGAGCAAUUUCUGCUCGGUUUGACACGAGGUGUGCACCCGGUGGUCAAUCUCAGGUGAUGCACUUAAAUCAGUGGGAAUCACUUUCAACCGCCUGCUGGGCCUCCACCGAGCGCUCCCGUCCUUGGUUUUUGUUUUUGACCUUCUCAACUUGUUAUGUAGUUUGGUGUGCUACCGUACGUGUUAAAGCAUUGACAACUUCUGACGGUGGAUCUCUUGGCUCGUGCAUCGAUGAAGAACGCAGCAAGCUGCGAUACCUAGUGUGAAUUGCAGAAUUCAGUGAAUCAUCCAGUUUUUGAACGCAAAUGGCGCUCCCGGGGUCUCCUCGGGAGCAGGUCUGUUCGAGCGUCUGCCAACCGAAUCAGUUGUCGCCACGCCGGUGACAAGAGUGAGGAGCUGCAAACGCAAUCGUUCGGUUGCACUGCACUCUUCGAAUAGCAUUGUCUGUGCGAGGCCACAUUGUGACCAGGCGGUCUCUCGGAAGACGGUCGUCACAACGGCAUGACAAGUUGUGCGGUUGUCUCCCGAUGAGGCUGCGUGGUGGGCGAGUGCGGCCCCGUUUGGCAGCAUCAGGAAUCC
rnacentral:misc_RNA from 1 species